UACGUAGGGUGCGAGCGUUGUCCGGAAUUACUGGGCGUAAAGAGCUCGUAGGUGGUUUGUCGCGUUGUUCGUGAAAACUCACAGCUUAACUGUGGGCGUGCGGGCGAUACGGGCAGACUGGAGUACUGCAGGGGAGACUGGAAUUCCUGGUGUAGCGGUGAAAUGCGUAGAUAUCAGGAGGAACACCGGUGGCGAAGGCGGCCCUCUGGACGGAUACUGACGCUGAGACGCGAAAGCGUGGGGAGCAAACAGG
rnacentral:rRNA from 1 species